CGGGGUGCGGGGCCAAGCCCACCCCUCCCCCUCUGGUUAGUGCCGGGCAGGGGCGGGGCCUGGAGGCCCCGCCCUCACAGGAAGACGUGUACACGCACGCACGCACACUAACGGUGCAAGUUUGACGUGCUUCCGUCACCACGCACCUUUCCUAACGAAAGAUCAAGAAGGCAGCCCGCAGCCCAGGCCCUCUGGGGACCUUCUGCCGCACAGGGACCUCACCAGGCCCCGCGCCUCCCACAGCGGUCAAUCUCCCUGAGCCCCAGCUCGAGGCCCCUGACGGGGAGAUCCAGUCCCGGAAAAGCAUCUUUGGGCAGCACUGGGCCCGGGGCCAGGUCCUCCCCAGUAGCCGCUGACAGGGGCUGCAGGGAGAUAGAAGGUGGGGCAGAGGAGGGGUCUCCCGGGCUGAUGAGAGACGGUGGUGGGGCCGAGGCACAGACCCAGGUGAACGAAUGGGUCAGCCCUCGGGGGUCCCAGGGAAGCCUUUGGGAGGCAUCGGGCUGAAGGCUGCAGGGAGGGCAUUGCCAGGGCCUUGGUGAUGGGGCAGAUGCCCCCAGAGUGCUGACAGCAGAGCAACUCGGGAUAGGCCCUGGGCUGCCCCCCUCCCUCCGACCCUGGCUUAUGUCUGAGCCCCGAGGUCCCCAAGAUGCCACAGAGGCACCGGCCCCGUGGCACCGGGUCCUUCCCAACAGGCCUGCAGGGCAGACAGCGCACAAGGCCUAACACCAGCCCAAGAGCAGCAGUCGUGGGGGGGCCGGAGGAGAGGCCCCCGGGGUGAGCCUUGAGUGCCUGGAGCUGCCUCUGGGGCUGGGGCCAGGCAGCCCCUGCCCGGCCGUGUUGCUGGUCUGGGAGGGGAGCACAUGGGAGACGGGCAACAGCAGGGCCUCAGGGGCCAGACCUGGUGGGAGAGCCCACCCGAGGUGGCCUGGUCAGAGGUCCCCAAGCCUUGGCCGGUGGCCCGCGGCCUCCUCUGCCAGGGCGUGGGUGGUGGCGGGCCAAGGACUCCUGUCAGGUGCACGCAUUCCCCCACCUGGGAACCUCACAGCUGGGCCUCACCUGGGGCCGGUGAACACGCAGAGCCCUUCCCCCGGGGGGCGCUCUCACACACUCACAUACACACGUGCACACACGGACUCACACCCACGCAGGGAGAUAACCCGGCAGUCGGGGCUGAGCCUGCAGGGUGGAAAUUAUCUCUGCAGCGGGAGCCACACUGGCUUUGAGGAGGGGGCGCGGGCUCCAUGCGCCCAGGUGAUCACCCUGGACAGCCUGGGCCCUCCCACCAGCUACAGAGGAGCAGAGAGGGGACAGGGUGUGUCCCCAGGCCUCACUGGGACACGACCAUCCUGGGGUGGCAGGCGCCCCUGUGGUCGGAAGCCAGUGCAGGGCCGUGCCUGCUGUUCAGCUGCAGUGCCCCCGACGCUGCCCGCUGACCCAGGCUCGUGGGGGUGUCCGGGUGGGGGCUCUGGCCCAGGAGAGGAAGAAAGAGGGAGGGGAGGGGGCGAGAGGGCGCCACUGUGAGCAGGUGUGAGGCUGGAGCUCCCGGGAAAGGAAGCCCCGAGUGGCUUUGCACUUUGCCCCUGGGGGCCGGGGCCGGGGAGCCUGCUCAGCCUGGUGGCCAGAGCUCCCACCCCACCCCCGAAGGACCCCAGCUGGUCUCCAAACCCUGAGCAGCCUCGUACAAAGCCCUCCCCCUCCUCUCUGCUGCCAAACCGCCAUCUGUUGCCAUGGCAACGAGAGCAGAAAAGGCAGGCGCACUAAGCGCUCUCCCCCAACCCCCUGCUUUCCCUGCUCCUUGAGCUGGGCGGGCUCCAGGGGCCGCAGCCCACACUGGCCUCGGGGCCUCCCUGCCCCCAGCAGUGGGCCUGGCCUCAGCUCCGGGAACAUCUGCCUCCCGCACAAAAGGCCAGAUCCCCAACCUAGCCCCCCCACCCCCGCCCACGGGGUCGGACCCCUCCUGCGUCAGGGAAUGGCUGGAGGCCUGUCUGGUCCCUGACCCACCACCCCCGCAGUGCUCCCGGCCACCCACCCGGGCCCCGCCCUGAGGCAUGGGUAGACAGCACGGUCCUGGCUACUGCGUGGCAGGGGACCAACCCGUGGAGACACAGCGGCAGCUCCGCCACCACAUGCCGCCUCAAAUCACCUGCAGGUGGGCCAAGGAGGCCUCGAGAAUAAAGCAAGCGCCGGCCCUACUGUCCGCGUCUGGCUGAGGAUGCCUGGAGGUCAGGGGCGGGUGCAGUGACAAGAACACACACGGCAGCAGGCGCCACUGGGCGCCGGGUCCCAGCACGGCGCCACUACCCUGGACAACUCCCCCAGGACCAGGAGCCCCCAGAUGGCCACUCGCCCUGGAGCCAGACAGGAGGGCAGGCGCUCCUCCCCCCGCUGCGCUCCCCUGGCCGCCGUCCAGAGCGGGGCAUCACCGUCCCUGCCUCCAGGCCAGGCUCCUCCAGGCGCAGCAGGGUCUCCCUCGGCCUGGGCAGCCCACCCACCCAGCCAGCAUCCCCAAGGGGCAUCCACCUACUGUGUGCUCAGUUCUGCAUCCUAUGAGCACCAGGCCCACGCGCUAGGAGACCCGAUGGACUGACCUGAGAACGACAGGGGGUCCCUCUGCCUGGGGGAGAGGCAGGGGGGAAGGGGAAGGUGCCCACCACCUCCGACACAGCUGGGCCCCAACACCCCUCUGGCCAUGGCCCCGUGGGCAGGAAGGGCCGGGCCAGCCGCACGCAGGCACGGGGCAGGACACCCAAGGGGACACCGCGGCCGUGUCUUGGGGGCAGAAUGCGGUGAAACCAUCAGUUCCGGGGGUACACUGGGUGCAGUGACGGCAAGCAGCUGGCCCGGCCCCCGCGUGCCCCUUUCCGCCCCAACCUCCGCCCACUCCGUACUGGGAAAUCCGGAGGAACAUGCCUUCAGAGGGGCAGGCGAGCGAGGACCAACCACGUCUCCGGUUCCAACGGUGGCAGACGACCACGUUAGAUUUUUACCAACUGGUUUUCAAUUCAAUGCUGUAAAAUCAGCCCAGUGAAAUAUUUUGAUUAAACCCCAUAACUAUUCAGAAAUUCA